rnacentral:rRNA from 1 species
CCCCUCCAAAUCCUAUUAUUUACCCGGUGAUUGUUUGUUUGGUUUUAGGUUGGGGUGACCGCGGAGUAUAAGAUAUCCUCCAUGAAAAAAAGCUAACUGCCCUUAUUAGAGAAAGACACUUCCAAAAAAUAAUAAAUUAAUUUUAAAUGAUCCGACAUUCGAUCAACGAACCAAGUUACCCUGGGGAUAACAGCGCAAUCCGUCCCGAGAGCCCCUAUCGACAGGCGGGUUUACGACCUCGAUGUUGGAUCAGGGUAUCCCAGUGGUGCAGCAGCUACUAAAGGUUCGUUUGUUCAACGAUUAAAACCCU